rnacentral:lncRNA from 1 species
ACAACCACAUGUCUGCACACAUCCUCAGAAGAUAGAUAGACCCCACACAGCCACUCAGAAGGAGAAAGAAAAAUGUGGAUCUGCAUACGUAUCAUGUGCAUGAUCCUCGGAAUUCUACUUUUUCUAAUUUUUUUCCAUUUCCUAAAGAAGAUUUCCUUUCUUAUUGACUAUGAUUUGAAAUCAAAGAUUUGGGCUGGGAACAGAGAUUUUUAUCAAUACAAGUUGUUUUUGUUGUUUGAUGAAGAUUCUCAUGAAAAGAAACUUUACAAGUCAAUCAGUCAUACCGUUGUUGUCACCCUGCAACUGAAGCUUAAUUGAAAUACACAGUGUCACACACACACACACACACACACACACACACACACGUGCACGCAUAUUCA